rnacentral:rRNA from 1 species
AGAGUUUGAUCAUGGCUCAGACGAACGCUGGCGGCGUGCCUAAUACAUGCAAGUCGAGCGGACAGAAGGGAGCUUGCUCCCGGAUGUUAGCGGCGGACGGGUGAGUAACACGUGGGUAACCUGCCUGUAAGACUGGGAUAACUCCGGGAAACCGGAGCUAAUACCGGAUAGUUCCUUGAACCGCAUGGUUCAAGGAUGAAAGACGGUUUCGGCUGUCACUUACAGAUGGACCCGCGGCGCAUUAGCUAGUUGGUGGGGUAAUGGCUCACCAAGGCGACGAUGCGUAGCCGACCUGAGAGGGUGAUCGGCCACACUGGGACUGAGACACGGCCCAGACUCCUACGGGAGGCAGCAGUAGGGAAUCUUCCGCAAUGGACGAAAGUCUGACGGAGCAACGCCGCGUGAGUGAUGAAGGUUUUCGGAUCGUAAAGCUCUGUUGUUAGGGAAGAACAAGUGCGAGAGUAACUGCUCGCACCUUGACGGUACCUAACCAGAAAGCCACGGCUAACUACGUGCCAGCAGCCGCGGUAAUACGUAGGUGGCAAGCGUUGUCCGGAAUUAUUGGGCGUAAAGGGCUCGCAGGCGGUUUCUUAAGUCUGAUGUGAAAGCCCCCGGCUCAACCGGGGAGGGUCAUUGGAAACUGGGAAACUUGAGUGCAGAAGAGGAGAGUGGAAUUCCACGUGUAGCGGUGAAAUGCGUAGAGAUGUGGAGGAACACCAGUGGCGAAGGCGACUCUCUGGUCUGUAACUGACGCUGAGGAGCGAAAGCGUGGGGAGCGAACAGGAUUAGAUACCCUGGU